rnacentral:rRNA from 1 species
UACGUAGGUGUCAAGCGUUGUCCGGAUUUAUUGGGCGUAAAGCGCCCGCAGGCGGCUUGCCAAGUUCGAUGUGAAAUCUCCCGGCUCAACUGGGAGGGUGCAUCGAAAACUGGCAGGCUUGAGGCAGGGAGAGGGAUGUGGAAUUCCCGGUGUAGCGGUGAAAUGCGUAGAUAUCUGGAGGAACACCGGUGGCGAAGGCGGCAUCCUGGACCAAUAUUGACGCUGAGGAGCGAAAGCCAGGGGAGCAAACGGG